rnacentral:rRNA from 1 species
GAUAGGUUAAGUUAAUAAGGGCGCAUGGUGGAUGCCUUGGCACUAGAAGGCGAUGAAGGACGUGACUAACUACGAUAUGCCUCGGUUAGCUGUAAGUAAGCUUACCCGGGGGUUUCCGAAUGGGGCAACCCGAUCUUAAUGAUCAUCAUCUUUUUGAAUUCAUAGAUUAGAUGAAGCAAACGCUGUGAACUGAAACAUCUAAGUAGCAGUAGGAAAGUAAAGAAAUUUCGAUUCCGUCAGUAGCGGCGAGCGAACGCGGAAGAGCCCAAACCUGGAUGCUUGCAUCCAGGGGUUGUAGGACUGAUGUUGAGUUACAAAGGUAUAAGAUAGCAGAAACAGUUGGGAAGCUGUUCCAAAGAGGGUGACAGGCCCGUAUGCGAAAUCUUGUACUCUCUAAUCAGGAUCCUGAGUACGGCCCAGCACGUGAAAUUGGGUCGGAAUCUGGGAGGACCAUCUCCCAAGGCUAAAUACUAACUAGUGACCGAUAGCGAACAAGUACCGUGAGGGAAAGGUGAAAAGAACCCCGGAAGGGGAGUGAAAUAGUUCUUGAAACCGUGUGCUUACAAGAAGUUCGAGGCCGUUAAUGGCUGAGAGCGUGCUUUUUGUAGAAUGAACCGGAG